UACGAAGGGGGCGAGCGUUGUUCGGAUUUACUGGGCGUAAAGGGCGCGCAGGCGGCUCAUUCUGUCAGGCGUGAAAGCCCCGGGCUUAACCUGGGAACUGCGGUUGAUACGGAUGGGCUAGAGUUCGGGAGAGGAGAGUGGAAUUCCCAGUGUAGAGGUGAAAUUCGUAGAUAUUGGGAAGAACACCGGUGGCGAAGGCGGCUCUCUGGACCUGUACUGACGCUCAUGCACGAAAGCGUGGGGAGCAAACAGG
rnacentral:rRNA from 1 species